rnacentral:misc_RNA from 1 species
GAUGAAGAACGCAGUGAAAUGCGAUAAGUAAUGUGAAUUGCAGAAUUCAGUGAAUCAUCGAAUCUUUGAACGCACCUUGCACCCUUUGGACUGCUCCAAAGGGUAUGCUCGUUUGAGUGUCAUUGUACUCUCACACUCUCUGAUCCUUUGGAUUUGGGGAGCAGUGGACUUGGGUGCUUGCUGCUUCCUUGUGGCUCACCUGAAAUGCAUCAGUGCAUCUCUCGAUUGGACAUAGUACGGCGUGAUAAGUGUCUUCGCCGGCACCUCAUAUGAGGGUGGCCGAUCGGGAGCUCUGUGCUUUCAAACCGUCUUCGGACAACGCUGACAACUUGACCUCAAAUCGAGUAGGACUACCCGCUGAACUUAAGCAUAUCAUAAGCGGAGGA